GUUUCUCAUUGUUUCUCAUGGUUGGUGUCAGAGUGAUUUAUAUAAAACAGUUGUGUUUCCUCUUCGAGGCAAAGGGACCCUCAUUGUGGGACGUCCUUUCCGCCGCCGGGAUGACCCGACGGCGGGAGCACGAAGCAUUUUGUAAUGAUCCAACCGCAGGUUCACCUACGGUUA
rnacentral:misc_RNA from 1 species